rnacentral:rRNA from 1 species
GGGCCCGCACAAGCAGCGGAGCGUGUGGUUUAAUUCGAGGCUACGCGAAGAACCUUACCUAGACUUGACAUACAGAUGGUAGUGAAGUGAAAGCGGAACGACCUUCGGGAGUCUGUACAGGUGCUGCAUGGCUGUCGUCAGCUCGUGCCGUGAGGUGUUCGGUUAAGUCCGAAAACGAGCGCAACCCCUAGUGCCAGUUACAAGUGUCUGGCGCGACUGCCCGGGGGAACUGGGAGGAAGGUGGGGAUGACGUCAAGUCAGCAUGGCCUUUAUGUCUAGGGCUACACACACGCUACAAUGGCCGGUACAAUAGGCAGCCAAGCCGCGAGGCGGAGCGAAUCCAAUAAAGCCGGUCACAGUUCGGAUUGCAGGCUGCAACUCGCCUGCAUGAAGUCGGAGUUGCUAGUAAACGCGGGUCAGCUACACCGCGUUGAAUACGUUCCCGGGCCUU